AUCAAUAAGCGGAGGAAAAGAAACCAACCGGGAUUGCCCCCAGUAACGGCGAGUGAAGCGGCAACAGCUCAAAUUUGAAAUCUGGCCCCUAGGGUCCGAGUUGUAAUUUGUAGAGGAUGCUUUUGGUGAGGUGCCGCCCGAGUUCCCUGGAACGGGACGCCACAGAGGGUGAGAGCCCCGUCUGGCUGGCCACCGAGCCUCUGUAAAGCUCCUUCGACGAGUCGAGUAGUUUGGGAAUGCUGCUCAAAAUGGGAGGUAUAUGUCUUCUAAAGCUAAAUAUUGGCCAGAGACCGAUAGCGCACAAGUAGAGUGAUCGAAAGAUGAAAAGCACCUUGAAAAGAGGGUUAAAUAGUACGUGAAAUUGUUGAAAGGGAAGCGCUUGUGACCAGACUUGGGCGCGGCGGAUCAUCCGGGGUUCUCUCCGGUGCACUUCGCCGCGUCUAGGCCAGCAUCAGUUCGUCGCGGGGGAAAAAGGCUUCGGGAACGUGGCUCCUCCGGGAGUGUUAUAGCCCGUUGCAUAAUACCCUGCGGUGGACUGAGGACCGCGCAUCUGCAAGGAUGCUGGCGUAAUGGUCACCAGCGACCCGUCUUGAAACACGGACCAAGGAGUCGUCUUCGUAUGCGAGUGUUCGGGUGUCAAACCCCUACGCGUAAUGAAAGUGAACGCAGGUGAGAGCUUCGGCGCAUCAUCGACCGAUCCUGAUGUUCUCGGAUGGAUUUGAGUAAGAGCAUACGGGGCCGGACCCGAAAGAAGGUGAACUAUGCCUGUAUAGGGUGAAGCCAGAGGAAACUCUGGUGGAGGCUCGCAGCGGUUCUGACGUGCAAAUCGAUCGUCAAAUAUGGGCAUGGGGGGCGAAAGACUAAUCGAACCUUCUAGUAGCU
rnacentral:rRNA from 1 species